GCCAUAAGUGUGAAACCAAAUCUCAUGCUGAACAACAGCCGUGAAAGCACCUGAGCUGAACCAUGAUGAAGUAUUCAUCUUUUUCCCUUUCAUUCUUUCAAAUUUGAUGGUAACAACACAUCACUAUUCAUCUUCUUCUCUUUCACUCUUUCAAAUUUCAACUCUUUUCUUCAAAAUUUUCCACUUCAAUUUUCACCACAAUUCAUCAUCAUGUUCAAGUUCAAUUCAUUUUGCCACAAAACCCUAAUCUAUUAUCUCAACGGAUUAACAUUACUAUCCCCAAACCCUAACCCUCUUUUGUUUUCUCUUCAUUUCUGCACCAACACUUCCGAUUCAACCUCAUUUGCAGUUUCCUACCUCAUCAACAAUUUUGGGUUUUCUCCAAAAUCUGCUCCCAAACUUUGCUCCACUUACAAUGUUCGUUUCAAGACUGCUCAAAAACCUGAUUCAGUUCUCAAUUUCUUUAGAAACCAUGGUUUCUCAGACACCCAAUUACGUCAUAUCAUUGCAAAAUCACCAUGGCUACUUUCCUGCAACCCCUCCAAAAGGGUGUUGCCAAAGUUUCAAUUUUUACUCUCCAAAGGUGCUUCUACAUCUGACAAUGUUAACAUUGUCAGUAAGAACCCUGCUGUCCUGUCUGCAAGCCUCGAGAAUCGUAUAGUCCCAGCCUAUGAAUUGGUUUAUAGAUUUUUGCAAUCAGACAAGGACACUAUUGCUUUGUUGAAGUACAAUCCAACUAUCUUUGGAACAAGUUAUGUGGUAGAUAACAUCAAAGUGCUUACUGAGAGUGGAGUAACUGACUCAAAUAUUGCAAGAUCGCUUCGGACCUGGAUUAAGUUAUUCUACAGGACGGACUUGCAUGAGUUGGUGGAGGAAUUGAAGGAUUUGGGGUUUGAUCCUUCGCGGUCAAUUUUCACAAUAGCAUUGAUCGCCAAAACAUCAAUAACCAAAACGUUGUGGAAAGAAAAAGUUGAUGUUUUUAAGAAAUGGGGUUGGUCUAAUGAAGAUGCUCUUAAAGCAUUUAGAAAGCAACCUCAUUGUAUGUUAACAUCCAUUGAUAAAAUUAAUUUAGUGAUGAGCUAUUGGGUCAAUCAGUUGGGUUGGGAUGCUCUUGCCAUUGCCAAAACGCCAAGGGUUUUUGGGGCCAGUCUGGAAAAAACGAUCAUACCAAGAGCCUCGGUUGUGCAAUAUCUUUUGAAGAAAGGUUUGCUAAAUAAAGAAGCAAGUUUAACUUCUCCAUUUGUAGUCACGGAGAAGAUUUUCCUUGACAUGUAUAUAAAUCGUUUUAAGGAGGAGUCUUCGUAUCUAUUAAAGCUCUAUGAAGAAAAACUGAAUCUUGCACAAACCACGGAAGAAACUGGCAUGAUAUGAACAAAUUUUCAGAUACUUUUCCUUUGGUUAAACAUCAUUGUUCCAAGCGAAGAUUUUAUGUAGUUUCUGUUACCGAUGUAGAACAAGAUUCAACAGUUUUGCUGUCUUCUUGAUCCAAUAAGGUUCUUUCCAAGGAGGAAGAGGGUUUGUUACAAAAUACUGCCAGGCUGUUAUUGCCACACUUACUAAAAUGAAGGUUGGGUAGAGCCUUCAUAGUCAUACCAAUUGAAGUCCAAACAAGCAUAUAAUAUAAAGCAGAAGUUGUAUUUGAUUACAAAUAUUUUAAUCUUAUGUUACUCACUUGUCAACCGGGUGAAGCCGGCAUUAGAGCUGUUUUGACUUUUGAGGAAUGAGUGUGGAAAUGUAAUAGCAGAUUUGCGGUAUCAGUUGGAGUUAAGGAUUCAAAUGAAUCUAAGUUCUUAGCUAUUGUUUUUGCUCUUGAGCAGUCUUUGGGCAAAGAGUGGCUAUCUGGUGGCUUGGGUGGAUAAUGGUGAAGCUUGCCCUUGGAGUUUGCGGUUUGCAAGUAUAUUCUGAUGUCGAAAAAAUGAUCUUGCGAUGAUGCUAGGGUGGACCUUUUUCUUUCUUAAAAUUAUAAUUAUCGAAAAAAAUGCUACUGGCUUAUCGAAAUAUUUAGACUUUUGUUUGUUUUCUAGAUUUUGAUUUAUUUUAAAAGUUCAAAAAGCAUGGACAAGAUUAAAAUAUCUGAUUUAAUCUUAGUCAAGUUCCUGUUAUGUCUAAUUUAAAAUUCAAAUAUUUGAACUAUCUCAAUCUUAUAUGUAACUGAGAUUUUCAAGUCAAUGCAGUUAAUCCAUAAAUGAGGUGCUUAGCCAAGUCCUUGUUCUUUAAAUUCUUAGCAUUCUUGUGCCAGGCUAAUGAUUUGGGUUGAUCUUAUACUUGGAAUACCACUUGUGUUACUUCCUUUUUCUUAAAUCAAUUAUAAGAUCAACGCCCUGAUUAUUUAAGAAAAAUACUAUGUGGGUAGUUAUAUAUUUUGAAAAAAUAAUAAAAUAAAAAUAAUAAGGAUAAAAUGGAAUAAAUUUCUCCCGUGAAUUUAAGUCAGUUGUCAAGGACAUUGUAUUUUAUAUGCAGGGGGUUGGGGUUCAAAACCCGGUCAUCCCACUUAUCCACCUCAGGUGGAAUAAAUGUAAAAAGCUAUAAAUUCAAAUAUUACUUAUAGAGUGCGUUUGAUUCACAAAACAGCAAAUACCACAUAAAAUAGUACAUGAGAGAACAAGGUAGUACAAGACAUGGCAAAAUUGUAUCGGAGAGAAAUAGGGUGAUAAUAUUUUUAAUAUUCAAAUAUAAAAUGAGUAUUUCCAUAUUUUUUAUAGUUGUAUUGAGGACAAAAAAUUGUUUUGUGGUCCCGUAAGGGACAAAAAUUCUUGUUUUUGUCAUGUUCCUUGCUACCUAUUUUAUUCAAUCUCAUAACCAGUUUCUUAAUCAAACAGGGUACAAGUAUAGUUUUCUAGUCCAGUCCCUUUAGAGCAGACUAUGAAGCCCUGAUACGUGACACAAUACCGAUACAACGCCGAUACGGGAAAUUUUUCAAAAUUCCCGAUACGAUACGUGAUCGGACGACAACGUGACUGCAAGUAUA